rnacentral:rRNA from 1 species
AAAAUACAAGGUCUCCGUAGGUGAACCUGCGGAGGGAUCAUUACACAAAUAUGAAGGCGGGCUGGAACCUCUCGGGGUUACAGCCUUGCUGAAUUAUUCACCCUUGUCUUUUGCGUACUUCUUGUUUCCUUGGUGGGUUCGCCCACCACUAGGACAAACAUAAACCUUUUGUAAUUGCAAUCAGCGUCAGUAACAAAUUAAUAAUUACAACUUUCAACAACGGAUCUCUUGGUUCUGGCAUCGAUGAAGAACGCAGCGAAAUGCGAUAAGUAGUGUGAAUUGCAGAAUUCAGUGAAUCAUCGAAUCUUUGAACGCACAUUGCGCCCUUUGGUAUUCCAAAGGGCAUGCCUGUUCGAGCGUCAUUUGUACCCUCAAGCUUUGCUUGGUGUUGGGCGUCUUGUCUCUAGCUUUGCUGGAGACUCGCCUUAAAGUAAUUGGCAGCCGGCCUACUGGUUUCGGAGCGCAGCACAAGUCGCACUCUCUAUCAGCAAAGGUCUAGCAUCCAUUAAGCCUUUUUCAACUUUGACCUCGAUCAGUACGACGCCAACCC